rnacentral:rRNA from 1 species
AAUGGCGUAAUGAUGGCCAGGCUGUCUCCACCCGAGACUCAGUGAAAUUGAACUCGCUGUGAAGAUGCAGUGUACCCGCGGCAAGACGGAAAGACCCCGUGAACCUUUACUAUAGCUUGACACUGAACAUUGAGCCUUGAUGUGUAGGAUAGGUGGGAGGCUUUGAAGCGUGGACGCCAGUCUGCGUGGAGCCAACCUUGAAAUACCACCCUUUAAUGUUUGAUGUUCUAACGUUGGCCCCUGACCGGGGUUGCGGACAGUGUCUGGUGGGUAGUUUGACUGGGGCGGUCUCCUCCCAAAGCGUAACGGAGGAGCACGAAGGUUAGCUAAUCCUGGUCGGACAUCAGGAGGUUAGUGCAAUGGCAUAAGCUAGCUUGACUGCGAGCGUGACGGCGCGAGCAGGUGCGAAAGCAGGUCAUAGUGAUCCGGUGGUUCUGAAUGGAAGGGCCAUCGCUCAACGGAUAAAAGGUACUCCGGGGAUAACAGGCUGAUAC